rnacentral:rRNA from 1 species
UACGAAGGGGGCUAGCGUUGCUCGGAAUCACUGGGCGUAAAGGGUGCGUAGGCGGGUCUUUAAGUCAGGGGUGAAAUCCCCGGGCUUAACCUGGGAACUGCGCUUGUUACUGGCAAGCUAGAGUGUGGCAGAGGGGGGUGGAAUUCCACGUGUAGCAGUGAAAUGCGUAGAGAUGUGGAGGAACACCGAUGGCGAAGGCAGCCCCCUGGGCUAACACUGACGCUCAUGCACGAAAGCGUGGGGAGCAAACAGG